GCACUGCUUAUGAGUCCCAAACAGGACGAAACGGCCAUCCAGUGC
rnacentral:hammerhead_ribozyme from 1 species